AAAACUCGGUUUUUUGAGCAUUUCGCCGCCCCAGGAGGGCCAUGGGCCCCUGUCCAAUUCAUCAAGUGCCUAAUGAGCGGCCCCACAGGUCCUGGCCCAUCCAUUCCAGAAGCUCUCUCCGCCUUGUAAAGGCUCUCUUGCCUUCGCCAGCCCGUCAGGAUGCUGCCGGCUCCGGGCGAGGGGCUGGUCCGCCCCAGCGUGGUGGCCGAGCUGGGAUCUGAGCGCUCGGGCUCUGGGACAGCCGCCCACCUGGAGCCCAGAAGAGGAAGGAGAACGGGAGGCUGUGCUUGCCGGGCGCGCGGCCCAGGGAAACAGAGGAGCUGUGUCAGACCACUUCUCGGGAUGCCUCUGCGUUGUGUCACCCCCCGGCCCCGACACCAGCUGACGGACCUCAUCCACACGGUCGGCUGGGACGUGGGGACUUCUUGUAACACCUGCUCGUGAUUUUGCCAACUUCCUGGAUGUUCAUUUCUGGUUCUGCACAAAGAGCCACAUUUCCUUUUGGAACCGGGACCGGGAGACAGACAGCAGCAGAUACUGGAAAUUGUGAGUACUCCCCGAUCUUCCCCCAGCGGCUCUCUGACCCUGUCUGUCCGUCCGUCCGUCCGUCCUGCCUGCCUUUCUUUCUCUACCAGCUCGCUGUCUGCAGGGCUUCUCCGGGAAGCCCUCUGGCAGCCCUCGGCACCACUCUGGCUUUGGGGAAAGGAGCCGCUACAGUUUCUGCACGGACAUCGAUGGGGAGGGGAGGGGAGUGUGCUCACCGACUGUGGGACUCCAGUUUUCAUUUUGAGGCCCCGAAAGAUGGCGAAAGUAAACAGAAGGAGGCUGGCUUAUUUCAGGGCGAACAGUGAGUCCCCACUGAAUUGACCUAAUAAAAUGAAUUUUAAAAUUUUCAUUUUCUCAUUUCGUUCCAGCAGAAAAUGAGCUUGCCUUUAUAAUGUCCAGAUCUUUCAAACUCUGAGUGAGAAAUUAAGUUACUAAAUGUAAAUACUUUAGUAUAUGCACACAUGUGUAUGUAUGUAUGAAAUGACUGUAUAUAUAUGAAAUGAAGUAAUCCCUGACGGUAAUGCAAUAGCUAGCCUGACUUUAGGCUCCUAGGACACUUAAAA